rnacentral:rRNA from 1 species
GUGUCAGCAGCCGCGGUAAGACGUAGGAUGCGAGCGUUGUCCGGAAUUAUUGGGCGUAAAGCGUACGUAGGCGGUCAUCUAAGUCUGGGGUUAAAGACCAAGGCUCAACCUUGGGAGUGCCCUGGAUACUGGGUGACUGGAGGACGGCAGAGGAAAGUGGAAUUCCCAGUGUAGCGGUGAAAUGCGUAGAUAUUGGGAGGAACACCAGUGGCGAAAGCGACUUUCUGGGCCGUUCCUGACGCUGAGGUACGAAAGCCAGGGGAGCAAACGGGAUUAGAUACCCUCGUAGUCC